rnacentral:rRNA from 1 species
UGCGCAGGCGGCUUUGCAAGACAGAUGUGAAAUCCCCGGGCUCAACCUGGGAACUGCAUUUGUGACUGCAUGGCUGGAGUGCGGCAGAGGGGGAUGGAAUUCCGCGUGUAGCAGUGAAAUGCGUAGAUAUGCGGAGGAACACCGAUGGCGAAGGCAAUCCCCUGGACAGUGACUGACGCUCAUAUGCGAAAGCGUGGGGAUCAAACAGGAUUAGAUACCCCAGUA